UUUUCAAAAUGGCGGUUCGGGAAGGAGAGCGGGAAUGCGGCGACCAAUCAGGGCCGCGAGCUGGGAGUUGGCGGGCGCGGGGCGGGGGAGGCGGGGCGGCCGGGUGCCUCCGCGGGAAGCUCGGGCGGGCGGGACCGCGAGGGGUCGCCUCGGCCGCGGGCGGAGGGAUGCGCGCGCGGGGCUCUCCCCGGCUGCGCCUGGAGUGUGGUCGGCGCUCGGGCCCCGGAGUGCGGGCGGGCUGUGUCCCGCGGGGCGGGCGGGAGCGGGAGGCGAGGCGGCCUGGCAGCGCGGAACGGAAGGACGCUAGGGGGCCUGCGUGUUUAUUGUUUCCACGGUCGCUUCCUGGAAAAGAUGAUGAGCAGUCCCGGGCCGCGGAGGGGCGCGGCGGGCGCGGUAAAGAAGUUUAGAGAUCUCCGAAGUCGCUAUCGACAGUGUUACUCUGAGGCGGAGGAGAAUUAAUCAGCGGUCUCAUCAAUGCUCCAGAAAUCAUGCUGGGUGAUAGAUAACUCCCAAAUCUGUAUUUCUGAGGACCGCAUCGCUUGUAAGGUCCUGAGUUCUGGUCCUGUGUCCAGGAAGAGUGAGGCACGCAAACAACUGGAGGGUGAGCAAGGUGGACAGGAGCUUCACUGAGGGACAGAACAGCUCUCCUGAGACCUGAAGUGGGUUGCUCCUUUCUGCAGGGGGGUUGUCCCGACUAGCGUCCUGCCCUCAGUGGAGAGGAGACCCAUAGUGGGCAGCUCCUUUCUGCAGGCAGGUGGUCCUGACGAGUUGAGGAGACCAAAGUGGGUAGCUCCUUCCUGCAGCUGGUAGGCCUGAGCGCUGGCUGAGUCUGGGGUUUUUAUGGGCUCAGAAGGGAGGAAGUGUGUGCUGAUUGGCCCAUGGGUGGGCCCAGAAAAAGCACCACUAGUUUUCACUCUGGGCUGCAGACUCUACCUGGAACUGGCCACCAGGCCCCCCAGGCUUCAGGCCAUCCCUGGCUUGAAGGUGGGCAGGGACCUACCCCUUUCCCCCCAGGAACGUGUCUGCCUCCCACCAUCAACAUGUCAUCCAUGGCGCCCAGGCUGUUUGUGCUGAGGGGUGCCUGCAGGCCCACGCGGAGCCACCCUCAGCCCCACCAGCCUCUUUCUCGCACUUGUUGGUGCCCAAAGUCCAGAGAGGGCCAAGGCGGCAGGUGGCUGGUGUGUCAGUGCUGCCCUGAACACGUGCACACCCAGCUGGGUUGCAGCAGCGCCCGUGCCUGGCCACAACUUUGCUCCGCCUUGGAGUGGGCCCUGGGAGUGGGUAGAGAGAGGGUAGAGGCCUGGGAACAGGCACAUUCUUUUUUUUUUUUUUUUUUUUUUUGAGACAGGGUCUCACUCUGUCACCCAAGCUGGAGUGCAGUGGCGUGCUCUUGGCUCACUGCAACCUCAGGAGCAGGCACUUUCAGCCUGCAGGGGCAGGGGGUUUCCUGGGCCCCCAAGAGUGCAGGGAUGGCUGGGUGCAGAGCUGCGGCUGGACGGCUGCAGCUGUGCCCAGGAACAUGGGUCUCCCGCCUCGCUGACGUGGUAGGGGACGGGGCUCUUGCAUGUUCCUGGCGCCCGCUGUCUCUGAGGAGUGGGCAGCUCUGGCCACGCCUUCCAUACUGCAGCUGGCAUCCCCUCAGCAGCUGCUCCAGACAGGCUGUCACUGCCAUCAAGACAACGAGCAGGUGAAUAUAUAUUCUAUGACAAUUAGUGAUAGCAGUAAAGCAAGUUAAAGAAGAUAGGAAGUACCAGUAGGGUGGAUGGGAUUUUGUUUUAUAUAUUCAACAAUGAAGCAAUGACUUAUUAAUAAGAUGACAUUUGAAGAGAUCCUAAGAAAAUGGGAGAUCUGAAGACCCACUAGGUUAUUCCAAAGAAUGCUCUAAAGUUUUGGAUGUGGGGCACGAGAGUCAGGUAGAAAUCAGUGAUGACCUUGGGGUUUUUGGUUCAACAACUGUGAGAACAGGAGUAGCUAUUCGUUGAGAUGAGAAAGACUUCGGGGGUGGGGGUGGGCAGGAUGGUUUUAGAGGGGAAAGUGCAGGAGGUGGGAAUGAGUUGUUUUGUUUUAGACAUGUUAGUUUUGACAAUUCAAAAUGGAGAUUCAGGAGUGGCAGUUGGAUUUGAGAGUCUGGCAUUCAGCAGAAGAAACUCUAGCUCAAGAAAUAAAUAUAGCAGUUGUCAACAUGUAGAUGGUAUUUAAAGCCCUGAAACUGAAUGAAAUCACUAACAGGGAACAUAGGUAGGGAUAAGGGGAUAUUCAAAAUUGUACCUUGGAGCUCUCCAGUGUUGAGAGGUUCAAGAGUGAGAGGGGAACCAGCAAAGGAGAAGAGAAGAGCAACUGUAGCCAGUGAAGUGGGAAGAGACUUACAUGAAAAUUGUGUCCGAGAAGCCAAGUGACAAAGGAGUGUUUUUGAAGGAGGGUGAUCCACUGAGUCACAUGCUGAUAAAAGGUCAGGUAAGAUGAGAACUGAUAAUUGACCACUGGAAAUACCAAUGUUGUGUUAUCAGUGACAUGGACUAUUCUGUGGGGUGGUGAGUCUAAAUGUUCCAGGAGUGGGAAUACAGAGAGACAGGUAGGCAAGGAAUGGAUUCAGACACUCUUUCCAGGAAUGUUGCUGUACAGGAAAACAAAGAAGGAGCAGUAGUUCAAAGGGAGUUUGGUUUUGAAGAAAAGAGACCCAUGUUUGUAUGAUGAUGAGAAUGAAUCAGUGGAGAGGGGAACAUUGAUGAUACAAGAGAAGGAGACAGUAGCUGAAGCCAAUCUACAGUAGGUAGGUCAGGUUGGGUUCUCUGUAAGCAGAAGCUGAAACAGAAUUUGGGACACCAGGUGAUUAUUAGAGGUGAAGAACUGUGAAGGGAAGGGGGAAGAAGUAAGAUUGGGCAGAGGAAGAGGUCAAACUGCAAAGCUGGCUUGACAGAGCUUCAGACAGCUACGAGGGGAGUUCUGGAGUGAGUGCUGCUCUUCAGGGUAUUCUGAGUGGCUGAGCUUUUAUAUCGCCAUACUGCUCAGUCACCGCAUGCAGGCAGCCCCAGGAAGGGUGUUACCUCGACUGAAGUGAUUCCACUUUAGUGGCUUUGGCAGAUCCUGAAGGAGCUGACAGAUGGAGGCUGCCUGCUAACUCUAGGGUCUGCAGCUGGGCAGCAGAUCCUUCCUUGAAGAGGCAUCUGGGUGACACAUCUCCAUGUCUGCCACAGGAGAUGAGGGGACAUGGGAUCUAGUGCACAAGUAGAAGAGUUGUCCUUGAAAAGGACAAUGGAAAGCUGUUCCAUUGUAACAAGAGGAAACACAGAGGACAUCAGUACCCAUGCAGGGCAGGGGUUGGCAGAUGUAAGUGGGAGUUUUUGAAGUUUUUAUUUCUUUAAGUUUCUCAGUAAAAUCCGGGGCAACAUUAUUGACAGUGAGUGAGUGUGAGAGAGACUGUUGAAGGUUUUUGGACAGGAAAUGUGAAGUGAUCAUGUAGAAAAAUGGGAGAUGGAUGGAUUAGGGAAUGUCGUAGGCUUGCCAUGUAGCUGCAAGGACUCACUGGGAUCAAUGGCUGUAAAGUGAGAGUGAGACCAGUCAGCAUUAUUGUUUUUCUCCGGCCAUAUUCAGCUACCUGGGAGUAAGUACGAAGAUGGCAACAACAGCAUCCAAAAAGUGCAUUUAACCAGGUUGGUAUUUUGCUAGGCAGGUAAGAAAGAAGGAGAAAACGGUGAGUGAGUUGAGGAUACACACAGGACAAGGAAGAUAGUGAUGGACCAUAGAGUCUGAGCUGAGUAAGGAGGGAAGUAAAGACAUGAGAAGGGCGAGGCUUAGUGAGAAGGGUACAGGACCGAUCAGUAAUAACUUUAUUUCUGUUUAUUACAUUUAUCACUACCAGAAAAUUUUGUUUAUUUAUUGUCUAUCUUUCCUACAAAAAUGUAAACUCCCUGAGGCUGCAGGGACUUUGUCUUGUUCAUCACUGUAUUCUCAGCACCCAAAACAGUGCCUAACACAUAGUAAGUAUUUUGCUGAGUGAAUGAAUGCCAACCAAAAUAAACCCGUAUUAUGAAGAUCCA